rnacentral:rRNA from 1 species
GUAAACGGCGGCCGUAACUAUAACGGUCCUAAGGUAGCGAAAUUCCUUGUCGGGUAAGUUCCGACCUGCACGAAUGGCAUAACGAUGGCCACACUGUCUCCUCCCGAGACUCAGUGAAGUUGAAAUGUUUGUGAUGAUGCAAUCUACCCGCGGCUAGACGGAAAGACCCCAUGAACCUUUACUGCAGCUUUGCAUUGAACUGUGAACCGAUUUGUGUAGGAUAGGUGGGAGGCAGAGAAGAGGCCACGCCAGUGGCCUUGGAGCCGACCUUGAAAUACCACCCUGAUUUGUUUGCGGUUCUAACCACGGACAGUGAUCCUGUCUUGGGACCGUGCAUGGUAGGCAGUUUGACUGGGGCGGUCUCCUCCUAAAGGGUAACGGAGGAGUACGAAGGUACGCUAGGUACGGUCGGAAAUCGUGCUGAUAGUGCAAUGGCAAAAGCGUGCUUGACUGCGAGAGCAACAACUCGAGCAGAUGCGAAAGCAGGUCAUAGUGAUCCGGUGGCUCUGAAUGGAAGGGCCAUCGCUCAACGGAUAAAAGGUACUCUGGGGAUAACAGGCUGAUACCGCCCAAGAGUUCAUAUCGACGGCGGUGUUUGGCACCUCGAUGUCGGCUCAUCUCAUCCUGGGGCUGUAGUCGGUCCCAAGGGUAUGGCUGUUCGCCAUUUAAAGAGGUACGUGAGCUGGGUUUAAAACGUCGUGAGACAGUUUGGUCCCUAUCUGCCGUGGGCGUUGGAAGAUUGACGGGGGCUGCUCCUAGUACGAGAGGACCGGAGUGGACGCACCUCUGGUGUACCGGUUGUCACGCCAGUGGCAUUGCCGGGUAGCUAAGUGCGGAAGAGAUAACCGCUGAAAGCAUCUAAGCGGGAAACUUGCCUGAAGAUGAGUCUUCCCGGAGGUUGAACCUCCCUCAAGAGUCGUCCGAGACCAGGACGUCGAUAGGUCAGGUGUGUAAGCGCUGUAAGGCGUUGAGCUAACUGAUACUAAUUGCUCGUGAGGCUUGAUCCU